rnacentral:rRNA from 1 species
UACAGAGGGGGCAAGCGUUGUUCGGAAUUACUGGGCGUAAAGGGCGCGUAGGCGGCCUUCUAAGUCGAACGUGAAAUCCCCGGGCUCAACCCGGGAACUGCGCCCGAUACUGGAAGGCUUGAAUCCGGGAGAGGGAUGCAGAAUUCCAGGUGUAGCGGUGAAAUGCGUAGAUAUCUGGAGGAAUACCGGUGGAGAAGGCGGCAUCCUGGACCGACAUUGACGCUGAUGAGCGAAAGCUAGGGGAGCAAACGGG